CAGUAGCCGCGGGAAUACGUAGGGUCCGAGCGUUGUCCGGAAUUACUGGGCGUAAAGAGCUCGUAGGUGGUUUGUCGCGUUGUUCGUGAAAACUCACAGCUUAACUGUGGGCGUGCGGGCGAUACCGGCAGACUAGAGUACUGCAGGGGAGACUGGAAUUCCUGGUGUAGCGGUGGAAUGCGCAGAUAUCAGGAGGAACACCGGUGGCGAAGGCGGGUCUCUGGGCAGUAACUGACGCUGAGGAGCGAAAGCGUGGGGAGCGAACAGGAUUAGAUACCCGAGUAGUCCCUGUCUCUUAUAA
rnacentral:rRNA from 1 species